CCCUUAGAUGUUCUGGGCCGCACGCGCGCUACACUGAUGCAUUCAACGAGUCUAAAACCUGGUCUGAUAGGGCUGGGUAAUCUUUUGAAUGUGCAUCGUGAUUGGGAUAGAUGAUUGCAAUUCUUCAUCUUCAACGAGGAAUGCCUAGUAAACGCAAGUCAUCAGCUUGCAUUGAUUACGUCCCUGCCCUUUGUACACACCGCCCGUCGCUCCUACCGAUUGAAUGUUCCGAUGAAUACCAUGGACUGCGAGUAUGAAUGGGUUCGCCUAUUUCUGCUUCUCGGGAAGUGGAGUAAAUCUUAACAUUUAGAGGAAGGAGAAGUCGUAACA
rnacentral:rRNA from 1 species